AAAAAUACUAAUACCUUAGAACAAAAAAAAUUUUAUUUUAAAUUUAUGCUUUGAAGGACUCUAUCAGAAUUAAAUUAAAUGCUGAAAUCUUGCCACUGAUGGCUAAUAGUUGCCAUCACAACACAAACCAACAAUUACAAAUAUUUUCUUUCAUCUAUUUACACCAGCAUUGUUAUUAAUGCUGUAUUUGGCAUUUCCAUUAUGGUAUAUUGUGAUUGUUUCAUUUUGUGCAAAGCCAAUAUCAAGCCAAUCUGAGGUCUUUCAAGGAAGCAAGUUAAUCACUUUCUUUCAGCCUAUCCUUAUAAAUUUCAAUUAUCCUUUCUGUGCUUAUCCAGUCUUAAAUCCUCUUCUGUUUAAAGGUCUUUAUUCUUCUAUGAAACAAUGUAUAUGCUAUUUUUUUUUUUUUUUUGGUUUAUUUUAUCCUUGUCAUUUCUAAUAUUAAAUAUAAACACACUAUUCAACAGCAACAAAAAAUAACUAGAGGCCUAGACAAGACUGGAUGAGCAAAAAAAAAUGUUGCUACAAGAGAACUAAAACAACAGUGCAAAAGCUAAAUUGCUACAAGUUAAAAUACAAUGUGAAAAUGCUAUAGUAAUCCUGGAAUAUAUGGCAUAAAAGGACAGUUGAAAGGAUAAUAGUUGAAACUGCAAGGAAAGUAUGAAAAGUAAAAAAUUAUCACAUUACUCCUAAAGGUCAAUAGUCUAGCUUGGCAUUGAUGUGUUAAUAAAACAUCAUUUAACAUAUUGAAAAGAUAGUGCUAUAUAUAGUAUUAAUAAAGAUGCUAGUUUGGAAAAAAAUUUUUAAAGUAUUUGUUGAAUUGCAUUGCUAUGGCAACAUUUAGCCAUGCAGUGACAAGAUGGCACAUUUAAUUUAGUGUAGCCAUUGGUGAUAGUAUUGGGUUGUUCGGAAAAUUUGUGCCGAUUUUGAAGGAAAAUUGAAAUGUAC
rnacentral:lncRNA from 1 species